GAUUAACGCUGGCGGCGUGCCUAACACAUGCAAGUCGAACGAUGAAACUCAUUAGAUUUCUUCGGAAUGAAAAUGAAUGGAUUAGUGGCGAACGGGUGAGUAACGCGUGAGUAACCUGCCUUACACAAGGGGAUAGCCUCUGGAAACGGAGAAUAAUACCCUAUGACACCAGACAAUCGCAUGAUAAUCUGGUCAAAAUGUUUAGUGGUGUAAGAUGGACUUGCGUCUGAUUAGCUAGUUGGUGAGAUAAAAGCUCACCAAGGCAACGAUCAGUAGCCGGCUUGAGAGAGUGUACGGCCACAUUGGGACUGAGACACGGCCCAGACUCCUACGGGAGGCAGCAGUGGGGAAUUUUGCACAAUGGGGGAAACCCUGAUGCAGCGACGCCGCGUGAUUUAGAAGGCCUUCGGGUUGUAAAAAUCUUUUGUAUAGGAAGAAAAUGACAGUACUAUACGAAUAAGGUCCGGCUAAUUACGUG
rnacentral:rRNA from 1 species